rnacentral:misc_RNA from 1 species
AAAUCAAAUCAGACACGAGUCUAGCAGAGACGUUGCAGAUGGUGAGAGAGAGAGAGGUGGAGGAGACGCAGGAGAGGAGUCCAAGGAGUCCAGAGGCCGACCUCGGGAUGAAAGUUGAGGAUUUGUGGGAUGUGCAGGAGCCGCAGCUCAGUCCAACUGAGAAGCUCAACGCUUGUUUCGAGAGUAUCCCUGUCUCUGCCUUCCCAUCUGCGAAUUCCUCUCAAGUGGUCGAAAUCAAAUCAGACACGAGUCUAGCAGAGGCCGUGAAAAUACUAGCGGAUAACAAAAUAUUAAGCGCACCGGUGGUGGAUGUUGAUGCACCUGAGGAUGCCACUUGGAUGGACAGAUACCUCGGCGUUGUUGAGUUCGCCGGAAUUGCUGUGUGGAUUUUGCAUCAGUCAGAACCUCCAUCUCCUAGGAGUCAAAGCUCUGGAACAGCUCUUGCAGUGGCGGCUAAUGGAUUGACUAAUGCUGCAGGGCUUGGGACCUUAGGCCCUGAAGAUGCUUCAGCAACUUCUGGAAACUUUUUUGAGGCUUUGACUUCUUCUGAGUUCUAUAAAAGCAUGAAGGUUCGAGACAUCUCUGGAUCAUUCCGGUGGGCACCAUUUCUUGCUUUACAGAAAUCCAACUCCUUUUUGACGAUGCUCUUGUUGCUUUCAAAAUACAAAAUGAAGAGUGUUCCUGUUGUUGAUCCGGGUGAAGGGAAGAUUGAUAACAUAAUCACACAGUCUGCUGUUAUUCACAUGCUAGCAGAAUGUGCUGGGCUUCAAUGGUUUGAAAGCUGGGGAACAAAGAAACUUUCAGAAAUUGGUCUUCCCUCCAUGUCUCUUAAUCAAAUUGUCAAGGUGCAUGAGGAGGAACCGGUUCUCCAAGCCUUUAAGCUGAUGAGAAAAAAGAGAAUUGGAGCAAUACCUGUUGUUGAAAGUGAUGGUAAAAGGGCAGUGGGCAAUAUAAGUCUAAGAGAUGUUCAGUUCCUGUUAACUGCACCUGAGAUCUACCAUGAUUACAGGUCUAUAACUGCAAAGAACUUUUUGACGGCAGUUAGAAGCUACUUGAAGGAGCAUCAUGAAACCUCACCAAUGGUGAAUGGCAUGAUUACAUGCACAAAAGACCACACCAUUAAAGAAUUGAUUCUGAAACUUGAUUCCAAAAAAGUUCAUCGAAUAUAUGUUGUGGAUGAUGCUGGGAAUCUGGAAGGAGUGAUCACUCUGAGAGACAUCAUCUCAAGGCUUGUACAUGAGCCUCCUGGCUACUUUGGUGAUUUCUUUGAUGGAGUGCUGCCUUUGCCCCAGAACAGUAGAGUUUAAGAGGUAUCAAUAUUGAUGGUCUAGUCAUUUCCCUAAUGAUUGGCCACUCUGCUAAUCAUCUUUGAAUUGUUUGAUAGCGAGAAAAUGCGGUGACUGUAACAUAGUCGAGUGCCCAUGUAAUUAGUUUCUUCUACUUCAGUGGGGUUCCAUUUUCUGUGCAUCUUGAUGUAUCUACAAACUGAAUGUGACCUCUUUUGGGCUAAAAUCAAAUCAAAUAAUUAGGACUUCUCCAUGUUGUUCUUGUGGUUGUAAAUUCCAAAUACUGAGUUGGCAAGUUGAAAGGAGUGAGUUGAUUUGAUUUUA